AUUGAACGCUGGCGGCAUGCUUUACACAUGCAAGUCGAACGGUAACAGGCCGCAAGGUGCUGACGAGUGGCGAACGGGUGAGUAAUGCAUCGGAACGUGCCCAGUCGUGGGGGAUAACGCAGCGAAAGCUGCGCUAAUACCGCAUACGAACUAUGGAUGAAAGCGGGGGACCGUAAGGCCUCGUGCGAUUGGAGCGGCCGAUGUCAGAUUAGGUAGUUGGUGGGGUAAAGGCUCACCAAGCCAACGAACUGUAGCUGGUCUGAGAGGACGACCAGCCACACUGGGACUGAGACACGGCCCAGACUCCUACGGGAGGCAGCAGUGGGGAAUUUUGGACAAUGGGCGCAAGCCUGAUCCAGCAAUGCCGCGUGCAGGAAGAAGGCCUUCGGGUUGUAAACUGCUUAUGUACGGAACGAAACGGUCCUGGUUAAUACCUGGGGCUAAUGACGGUACCGUAAGAAUAAGCACCGGCUAACUACGUGCCAGCCGCCGCAGUAACAC
rnacentral:rRNA from 1 species